UGGGGAAUUUUGGACAAUGGGGGAAACCCUGAUCCAGCCAUCCCGCGUGUGCGAUGAAGGCCUUCGGGUUGUAAAGCACUUUUGGCAGGAAAGAAACGUCGCGGGUUAAUACCCCGCGAAACUGACGGUACCUGCAGAAUAAGCACCGGCUAACUACGUGCCAGCAGCCGCGGUAAUACGUAGGGUGCAAGCGUUAAUCGGAAUUACUGGGCGUAAAGCGUGCGCAGGCGGUUCGGAAAGAAAGAUGUGAAAUCCCAGAGCUUACUUUGGAACUGCAUUUUUAACUACCGGGCUAGAGUGUGUCAGAGGGAGGUGGAAUUCCGCGUGUAGCAGUGAAAUGCGUAGAUAUGCGGAGGAACACCGAUGGCGAAGGCAGCCUCCUGGGAUAACACUGACGCUCAUGCACGAAAGCGUGGGGAGCAAACAGGAUUAGAUACCCUGGUAGUCCACGCCCUAAACGAUGUCAACUAGCUGUUGGGGCCUUCGGGCCUUGGUAGCGCAGCUAACGCGUGAAGUUGACCGCCUGGGGAGUACGGUCGCAAGAUUAAAACUCAAAUGAAUUGAC
rnacentral:rRNA from 1 species